rnacentral:lncRNA from 7 species
GAUAUGUAGUGGGAUGGAACUUGGAAAUGUAUGGAAGGGAUGUGACAACCUGCAGUGAAUGCUCGCACCCUUCUGUUGGGAACCGCGGGUGGCAUGCUUUCAAAUUAACGAUAUGCAUUCGUUGCAAGGGACUCCGCUCCUCCAUACUGUAAGACUUUCCAUCACAGGCCCAUGAAAGCCUCUUCAGUUGUUAAUCUCCUUUGGCCUACUCUGGGUGUUAAUCAUUUAGGAAGGUGUACAUCUUUGUACAGUUGGCUUAUGGCCAAACUCCUUUUCUAUAGAUCAGUGGUACCCACAAUCACAGAGACUAUUUAAUACUCAGUUUGAAGUUAUACAAAUGCAGCAUAAGGAGCUGAGUAUCAUAUGUACCUAUGGACAAGUGCUGCAUCACUGUUGAUUGUUAGAGGUAAAGGAUUACCACCAUAAAUUGCUUAAUUACAACAAAACUGUGUUCCUUCCCCAAAAUAAAUUACUCACCAAGUGUCUGCAAUUGACCGUGUAUUCAAUUUUAUUAAUCUAAGUAGUGCACAAGUUGAGAUGACAAAAGAGAAAAUAAAAAAUACUUUAUAAGGCAUACUCAGUACUCUCAUUGAUUAAUGUACACUGUUUAAUAAAAUUACAGCUACAAACUAUGAUUUUUUAAAAUUUUUUGGGGGGAAAUUUAUAACAUCUUACAUAUGAAGGAAGGAUUCAAAUGCUAUGUUUUUAUAUAAAUACUAAUUCAAAUUCCAAAAGUAGUGUAUAUGGGAUAUAGCACAUAAUCAACAUUUAAUUGGGAUAAAUACAUUCAGGACAUUGUGUUUUAAUGCAUACUUAUCAUAAGAUAAAAAGAAAAUGAAUGUC